AACCUGGGAUGUUCGAUAUAUCCGUAUUUUUGAACCUACAAAACUUUAAACGGGAUUCCUAUAUCUCUGUAAUAUGUCAAGCCCUCAUCGCGCAGGGGAAGGCAGAAAAGCAGAUGCGGUCGCCCACCUAGCUAUGGCUAGGAGUCAAAAAACGGUCAACGGCAUUUCGGGGG
rnacentral:other from 1 species